AACGAACGCUGGCGGCAUGCCUAACACAUGCAAGUCGAACGAGCCCUUCGGGUCUAGUGGCGCACGGGUGCGUAACGCGUGGGAACCUGCCCUUAGGUUCGGAAUAACUCCCCGAAAGGGGUGCUAAUACCGGAUAAUGUCUUCGGACCAAAGAUUUAUCGCCUUUGGAUGGGCCCGCGUUGGAUUAGCUAGUUGGUAGGGUAAAUGCCUACCAAGGCGACGAUCCAUAGCUGGUCUGAGAGGAUGAUCAGCCACACUGGGACUGAGACACGGCCCAGACUCCUACGGGAGGCAGCAGUGGGGAAUAUUGGACAAUGGGCGAAAGCCUGACGCAGCAAUGCCGCGUGAGUGAUGAAGGCCUUAGGGUUGUAAAACUCUUUUACCCGGGAUGAUAAUGACAGUACCGGGAGAAUAAGCCCCGGCUAACUCCGUG
rnacentral:rRNA from 1 species